CAUACAGACCAACUGUGGAAAGGAUUCUUACACAUGACAUCCAGCUGAAAUGACAAACCACAGUAGAGAACAGAUCAGAAACUCUCUCAUCCAAACGACUCAAACUUGAUCACCUCACCAUGACAAGAAUCACCCUGAUUUACUGGUAAAGAUAUUAUAGAAAGAAACUUACAGUCGGGUCAUGUCCGUGAACAGUUAGUACGCUCAGGCUUAUGAGCAGGACCCCUGCAGCCAGCAUGGUGCUGAAUGUAACUCUCCCAGUGUAAAGGACUGAAGAUCCAGUGUUUGACUUAAAUACCCCAAACCUCCUCUGUAUCCCACUCACCCCGCAUACUUGUCAAUCUUUAGCCAGCUGCAUUGAUUAUGUGCCAUGGUUUCAUGUAUUUAACCUUAUCUUAUUUACUUAAAUGCAAAGCUUGUCAAUUCAGACUUUAAACUUUGUAAACAAACUUUUACUCUGCACGUACUGAGGUGUAGUUACAUAAUCAUUUUUGGCAGGCUUAUUCAAUGGUGCUCCUCCUGAGACACUGAAAUGCAACAUAGGCCACUGUGGGUGACAGGAUUAUGCCAGACACACUGCAAAAGAGUUUAUAAUACUAUGACUUUUGAAUUUGUUUAAUUCAGUAUGCAGCCGAAGUGUGUAGGCUCUCGGCCAAGAACGACCAAAUCCCACUCCACGCCCCGCCUCUCUGCCGCCCCUGUUCCUGGUCUGCCUCCGCGAAUGAUUGGACUGGCACCUGAGUCACGUGCUCCAAUCCCGCUGCCACUGCAAUCCACAGCACCUGGUUUAAAUGUGCAGCGCACCUGUCAGUCGGUUUGAUUGUGAUUUGGUGUGAGCUUUAAACUAAGACAGUCGUUUUGUAUUUCCGGGUAUUAGUUCUGUGAGUACGUCUGUGUUUAAGCUACUAGUUGUUCUGUCAGUGUUGGACCUACUUGAACUGGACACCGGCUAAGGUUCUGGUUCUGGCUCAGGCUCUGGCUCCGGCUCGAUGUACUCAUCUCUGGGCAUCCUCAGCUCCGGGUCCUCGGUGUCCGUGCUGGUGGCGGGGGUCGAGUCCGAGGCCGGGGCAGAGUCAAGUGGUUUGGGUUGGGACGACAGGAGCGUCAUCUCUGGAAAGACAGAAGAGGAGAGGAGACAGAUUCAG